rnacentral:rRNA from 1 species
UCGACCUUCUUCGCCUUAAAGCUCCUAGGCAUCCACCAUAGACUCUUAUUACUUUGACCAUAUUUUUAUCUUCCAUCUCUAUUUUGCCAAUUUGUUUAUACAACAUARAAUAAUAUAUAUCUUUGUUUAAUCCAUGUCAAUAUAUAUAUUAUUUUUUAUAUUAUUUGAAURWWWCAUUCAAAUAAUAUAAACAUUUAAAAAAUAAAUUUAAGGUUUAAAGUAUAAAAUAAAAACCCGGCCAAUAACUGCUYCCCYUUYAUCGCGAUUUU